UAUGGCAGAUUAGUGCAUAGGAUUUAAACUCCUAUUAUAAAGUUUUACUUUUAUUAAAA
rnacentral:tRNA from 1 species